GGCUGGCUGGCUCAGUCAGCAGAGCACGCGACUCUUGAUCUCGGGGAUGUGAGUUCAAGCCCCACACUAGCUG
rnacentral:tRNA from 1 species